rnacentral:rRNA from 1 species
GACGAACGCUGGCGGCGUGCUUAACACAUGCAAGUCGAACGGUAAGGCUCCAGCUUGCUGGGGUACACGAGUGGCGAACGGGUGAGUAACACGUGGGUGACCUGCCCUGCACUUCGGGAUAAACCUGGGAAACUGGGUCUAAUACCGGAUAGGACCGCACCGUGAGGGUGUGGUGGAAAGUUUUUUCGGUGUGGGAUGGGCCCGCGGCCUAUCAGCUUGUUGGUGGGGUAAUGGCCUACCAAGGCGGCGACGGGUAGCCGGCCUGAGAGGGUGGACGGCCACAUUGGGACUGAGACACGGCCCAGACUCCUACGGGAGGCAGCAGUGGGGAAUAUUGCACAAUGGGCGGAAGCCUGAUGCAGCGACGCCGCGUGGGGGAUGACGGCCUUCGGGUUGUAAACUCCUUUCACCAUCGACGAAGGGUUUCUGACGGUAGAUGGAGAAGAAGCACCGGCUAACUACGUG